UGAGGAACAUGACCUUCGGCGGGGGAUAGCCGGCCCAACGGCCGGGUAAUACCGCGUACGACCACAUGGGGACAUCCCUGAGUGGUGAAAGCAGCAAUGCGCCGAUGGAGUGCCUCGCGGCCUAUCAGCUAGUUGGUGAGGUAACGGCUCACCAAGGCGACGACGGGUAGCUGGUCUGAGAGGGCGACCGGCCACACUGGGACUGAGACACCGGCCCAGACUCCGUACGGGAGG
rnacentral:rRNA from 1 species